GGGUGUCCAGGCUCUGUCUGUGCAGAUUUUGGGGUGUCCAGGCUCUGUCUGUGCAGAUUUUGGGGUGCCCAGGCUCUGUCUCUGCAGAUUUUGGGGUGUCCAGGCUCUGUCUCUGCAGGUUUAGGGUGUCCAGGCUCUGUCUGUGCAGAUUUUGGGGUGUCCAGGCUCUGUCUGUGCAGAUUUUGGGGUGUCCAGGCUCUGUCUCUGCAGAUUUUGGGGUGUCCAGGCUCCCUCUGUGCAGAUUUUGGGGU